GUGUCAGCCGCCGCGGUAAUACGGAGGAUGCAAGCGUUAUCCGGAAUCAUUGGGUUUAAAGGGUCCGUAGGCGGUUUAAUAAGUCAGUGGUGAAAGCCCAUCGCUCAACGAUGGAACGGCCAUUGAUACUGUUAAACUUGAAUUAUUAGGAAGUAACUAGAAUAUGUAGUGUAGCGGUGAAAUGCUUAGAGAUUACAUGGAAUACCAAUUGCGAAGGCAGGUUACUACUAAUAUAUUGACGCUGAUGGACGAAAGCGUGGGGAGCGAACAGGAUUAGAAACCCCCGUAGUCC
rnacentral:rRNA from 1 species